GGGGGCGUACAGGUUUCGACGGGGGUAUGGAGCAUUGAAUAGCGAGCUGUGGUUUGUCGGGUGCCACAUUAAAAAACUUGGCAAAAAAUAUAAACGCAGAUAAUAAUUACGCUUUAGCCGCUUAAUGCGGCUCAUCCUGCUGUAGCCUACCCGCCGCCGCAGCAAUAGGAUGUCGAUAUGCGGGGAUCCAGUCUGAGGGUUGUCCCGACCUCUUGCUGAAACAAUUGGGACUGGCAGAUGAAGCAGCUUGUCAUUGAGCGGCUUCGGAAGCGAGAAACAAAUCAAUGACUGCGCUCGGAGAAGUUUAAUGUAAAGUGCUUUCGGACGCGGGUUCGAUUCCCGCCGCCUCCACCA
rnacentral:tmRNA from 1 species